rnacentral:rRNA from 1 species
AAGGCCCCUUCGGGGGUACUCGAGCGGCGAACGGGUGAGUAACACGUGGGUAACCUGCCCCUGGCUCCGGGAUAACCCCGGGAAACCGAGGCUAAUACCGGAUACGACACGCGACCGCAUGGUCUGCGUGUGGAAAGGAUUCCGGCCAGGGAUGGACUCGCGGCCUAUCAGCUAGUUGGUGGGGUAACGGCCUACCAAGGCGACGACGGGUAGCCGGCCUGAGAGGGCGACCGGCCACACUGGGACUGAGACACGGCCCAGACUCCUACGAGAGGCAGCAGUGGGGAAUAUUGCGCAAUGGGCGAAAGCCUGACGCAGCAACGCCGCGUGAGGGAUGACGGCCUUCGGG